AGUUCUCCCAACCAUUAGUUAUAAAGAAUCAUCUAGUUAUGGAGAAAUCACUAACCCUUUGGGAAUCCUGUCCCAUAGCUGAAAUCUACAUUCCUCCAAUUGUCUGGCAAGUUUUAAAGUUGUUAUUUCUUUGUUUGUUUCAACAGAUUUGUCCCUAAUCAUGUGGAAAGGGCUGCUAAAAUACAGAAUGUACUUACUCCAAGUGAGAUUCCCAGUUCACAGAUACAGUAGUAAACCUAAUUUGCAAAUAAGCCACAGUCAUACACAUAAUAUUUCACACACAUAUUAAUAUUGUUAAUAUUAAUAUUAAGCAGUUAUUUGCAAAACAAAUUGGUACAAUUUCUUUAUAAGAUUGUUUUACAGGAUUUUAUCAGCUGUUGCAAGAAAAGAACUGAGCUGCAAAAGGGAUUGGAGUUGUAUCUCAUUACUCUUCCUUAGGGAGGGUAUUGAAUUUGGUUAAAAAUCAGUCCACUCCUUUAGAAAGUAUGUUGCAGAGAGACAAAUGCAAAAUGCCAGAUGGUGGAGUUGAAACAGAGACCUCAUGGAAAUCCGGACACAGACAUGCGCAGAGGGAGAAGGCUAUGUGAGGAAGAAGGCAGUGGUUGGAGUGAUGAUUCUCCAAGCCUAGGAAGGCCAGUGACUGGCAGCAAAGCACCAGAAACGAGGGGAAGAAACAUGGAACCGAUUCCUUCUCAGGCCUCAGGAGGAACCAACCCAGACGAACCUUGAUCUCAGGCUCUAGCCUCUGUUGCAAUAAAACAUUUUAUUGUUGAA
rnacentral:lncRNA from 1 species